rnacentral:rRNA from 1 species
GUGUCAGCCGCCGCGGUAAUACGGGGGGGGCGAGCGUUGUUCGGAAUUACUGGGCGUAAAGGGCGCGUAGGCGGUUGGAUAAGUCAGCUGUGAAAACCACGAGCUCAACUUGUGGCCUGCAGUUGAGACUGUCUGGCUAGAGUGUGGGAGAGGGAAGUGGAAUUCCUGGUGUAGCGGUGAAAUGCGUAGAUAUCAGGAGGAACACCGGUGGCGAAGGCGGCUUCCUGGACCACAACUGACGCUGAGGCGCGAAAGCUAGGGGAGCAAACAGGAUUAGAUACCCCAGUAGUCC